rnacentral:rRNA from 1 species
AGACAGCAGCCGCCACGGUAAUACGGAGGGUGCAAGCGUUAUCCGGAUUUAUUGGGUUUAAAGGGUCCGUAGGCGGACUUAUAAGUCAGUGGUGAAAGCCUGUCGCUUAACGAUAGAACUGCCAUUGAUACUGUAAGUCUUGAGUAUAUUUGAGGUAGCUGGAAUAAGUAGUGUAGCGGUGAAAUGCAUAGAUAUUACUUAGAACACCAAUUGCGAAGGCAGGUUACCAAGAUAUAACUGACGCUGAGGGACGAAAGCGUGGGUAGCGAACAGGAUUAGAUACCCCCGUAGUCCCUGUCUCUUAUAC